GACGAACGCUGGCGGCGUGCCUAAUACAUGCAAGUCGAACGCAUUUUCUUUCACCGUAGCUUGCUACACCGAAAGAAAGUGAGUGGCGAACGGGUGAGUAACACGUGGGUAACCUGCCCAUCAGCGGGGGAUAACACUUGGAAACAGGUGCUAAUACCGCAUAAUUCCAUUUACCGCAUGGUAGAUGGAUGAAAGGCGCUUUUGCGUCACUGAUGGAUGGACCCGCGGUGCAUUAGCUAGUUGGUGGGGUAACGGCCUACCAAGGCUGCGAUGCAUAGCCGACCUGAGAGGGUGAUCGGCCACACUGGGACUGAGACACGGCCCAGACUCCUACGGGAGGCAGCAGUAGGGAAUCUUCGGCAAUGGACGCAAGUCUGACCGAGCAACGCCGCGGGAGUGAAGAAGGUUGUCGGAUUGUAAAACUCUGUUGUUAGAGAAGAACAAGGAUGAGAGUGGAAAGUUCAUCCCUUGACGGUAGCUAACCAGAAAGCCACGGCUAACUACGUG
rnacentral:rRNA from 1 species